rnacentral:rRNA from 1 species
CAAUAGCGUAUAUUUAAGUUGUUGCAGUUAAAAAGCUCGGAGUUGGAUUUCGGAUGGGACUUGCCGGUCCGUCGUUUCGAUGUGCACUGGCCAGUCCUAUCUUGUUGUCGGGGACUAGCUCCUGGGCUUCACUGUCCGGGACUAGGAGCUGACGAGGUUACUUUGAGUAAAUUAGAGUGUUCAAAGCAAGCCUACGCUCUGAAUACAUUAGCAUGGAAUAACACGAUAGGACUCUGGCUUAUCUUGUUGGUCUGUGAGACCAGAGUAAUGAUUAAGAGGGACAGUCGGGGGCAUUCGUAUUUCAUUGUCAGAGGUGAAAUUCUUGGAUUUAUGAAAGACGAACUUCUGCGAAAGCAUUUGUCAAGGAUGUUUUCAUUA